GAUCAGAGAAUCACAAAGUUGGAAAGAAUCUCAACAGUUUCCCCUUUGCUAGUCAACUUGUGGUCUAUAUUAUUCAAGACAGAUGGACCGUCAUCCUAUUUUAUACUGAUGUUUGCCUCAUGCCAAAUUCCUCUUUCCUGCACACAUCCCUUUUUUUAUUAUUAUUAUAGAAAAGAAAUUGUAAUCUCUGGCUCGCUUAAUCCCUUUAUAAACCUACAUAAGAUAAAUGGGACCUGGAAAUGUUUCAGGAUUUGACCAAAUCCAUACAGGUCUCAGUUUUGAGAGAAAGCAAGAGAGCUAAAGCAAGAGAGAGAGAUAGCUAUCCAUUCAUAUACAAUGGAACUUCCAUGAUUAAGUUAGUCAUUUAAAAUGAAUGCACGUCUCCUAAAAAUUUUCUCAUGAAUGUAAUAAUAUCAGCAGCAAUAUUGUUUCUUCUGUCAGGCAAUAGGCUGAAUGCUUUGGAGUGUCAGCAUAGAGACUGUGUGUCAGUCUGGGUUUAUGUUGAACAGUCAGUUCACCCACAGAUGAAAGAGAUAUUCAAGAGAAAUCAGACCCAAUAUGGUAGUCCUAAGGGACCAGGGAAAUACCAGUCCUAUCAUUUCAUGGCAAAAUGGAAAGUCAUAGAGCAGGAAGGAGAUUUGCAACCCCGCUUAUACUUAUGGAGGUUUUUCCCUUGAAAAAAAUAUCUGGACAUACAGAAUUUUGCACACAAUUUCGGGGGUUUUCACAGAGACCCUGAUACCUAAUAAUGGGGACCUUGGACUCCUGUAUUAAGAAAUAGAGAGAGGGGCAGCUCUCUCAGUCGGUUAAACGCCCAACUCUUGGUUUCUGCUAGGGUCAUGAUUUCACGGUUUGUGGGUUUGGGCCAAGUUAGGCUCUGCGCUGACAGUGUGGAACCUGCUUGGGAUUCUCUCUCCCUCUCUUGUCCCUCCCUGCUUGCUUGCACAUGCAUGCUAGCUCUGUCUCUCUCUCUCUCUCUCUCAAAACAAAUAAAUAGGAUGGAACUGGAAUGUAUUAUGCUAAGUGAAAUAAGUCAGGCAGAAAAAGACAAGUAUCAUCAGAUUUCACUCAUGUGGAAUUUAAGAAACACAACAGAUGAAAGUAAGGGAAGGGAAGGAAAAAUAAGAUCAAAACAGAGAGGGAGGCAACCCGUAAGAGAUUCUUAAAUGCAGAGAACAAAUGGAGGGUUGUCAGAGGGGAGGUGGUUGGGGAGAGGAUGGGCUAAAUGGGUGAUGGGCAUUGAGGAGGGUACUUGUUGGGAUGAUCACUGGCCGUUGUAUGUAAGUGAUGAAUCACCCGGUUUUACUCCUGAAACCAAUACUCCACUGUAUGUUAACUAACUUGAAUUUAAGUAAAUAAAUUUAAAACAAUAAAAUCAACUUAAAAAGAAAAAGAAGAAAGAAAAAAAAAAGAGCCUAAUUCUUACUAGGAGCCUUUGGGGUGGCUGACACUUGACGGACUUCUCAACCCACCUUUACAAUGGCCUUGAAAGACAGGGCUUGGGGUUCCCAUUUGGCAAAUUGGGAAACUAAGAUCCCCAAGAAGUUAAACUUCUCCAGAGACCACACUCUUAGCAAAUACCAGGGAGGGUUUCAAAAUUGCGUCUUCCUGUCUUCCCAGGCUUAACAUUUGAGUCAACCCCAAGAGAUAAAAUAGAGUGUGAGAGACUAAAACACAACAGGGACAGGCAUUUUGAUAAGAGACCAUUUAUAUUAGAAGCUACCUAAAUGUCUCAAAUAGUUACCCUUAAAGAUACUAUGAUUCAUUCAUACAAUGGAAUAUUGUGCAGCAUUAAAAAUCAUACUUUCCUGAAGUACUUAAUGGCAUGAGGAAAUGUUCACAACAGCAAGACCACAGAAGCAGAAUUUAAAUGUAUAUAUUCUGGGGGCACCUGGGUGGCUCAGUCAGUUAAGCAUCUGACUCUUGUUUUGAGGUCAGGUCAUGAUGUCAGUCGUGAGACUGAGCCCCACGUCGGGCUCUGUGCUAAGUGUGGAGCUUGCUUGGGAUUCUCUCUUUCUCUCUCUCUCUCUAUCUGCCCCUCCCCUGCGCUUGCUCACAGACACUCCCUCUCUCUCUCUCUCUCUCUCUCUCUCUCUCUCUCGAAAUAAAACAAUGAACAUUUAAAAAAAACUAAAUGUACAUAUUCUAUAUAGUCUCUAUAUAUGUAAAUGUCUGUGUAUCUAUACACAUAUAUGCACACAGUAUAUAUGUAUACCGUAUAAUGAAUACAGUAUGGAUGUAUAUGAAUAUACAUUAUACAGUAUGUUCCAUGGAUGAUGGAAAAAGAGGUGAUUUUUGUCUUUUUAAUCAUUCACCUUUGACCUAUAAUGAUUACUGAUUAUUUUUAUAAUCAAAAAUGGUGAAUCAUUUUUAAAGUCGAAGUACGUAUAGUACUUGGAUGUCCAAACUGUCUUCUAAAGCUCAGAAUGAGGGAGCCAGAAGGGACAAUCCCUUUUUAAUGAUGGAAGAACUAAGGCCCAGACAAUUGUGACCUAAAUUCAAACAAAAGUUUACAUAAAAUUAGUGGCACUGUUGCAUAGCAUAGUCUUUUUUUUUUUUUUUCCUUACGAUAGUCUUUUAUUUUUCCUUUUUACGUGCUUCUUGUAGUACAACCUUAUCUGGAAAAAAUGUCACCCUGAAGCAAUGUUUUGAAUCUCCGUUGUU